UUUACCCAAAGGGUUAUUCUAUUUAAAGACAUUACUGCUGCAUCGCCUCUAUAUUUUACAAGAUAAUACUUCGCAUACAGGAUGUGCUCCUGAAACUCCCCAGAUGAAUGUUUGGCCUCCAACAAAGCCUUCGAGGGCUAAGCUGCAGGACUUCAACCGCCUUCAGCACGACUUAAACGUCUUCCUUCAUGAUCCUACGCAGCCGAAGCAGCACCAGCGUUGAGAGAGGCCAC
rnacentral:lncRNA from 1 species